rnacentral:rRNA from 1 species
UACGGAGGGUGCAAGCGUUGUCCGGAUUCAUUGGGUUUAAAGGGUCCGUAGGCGGUUUUGUAAGUCAGUGGUGAAAGCCCAUCGCUCAACGGUGGAACGGCCAUUGAUACUGCAAGACUUGAAUUAUUGGGAAGCAACUAGAAUAUGUAGUGUAGCGGUGAAAUGCUUAGAGAUUACAUGGAAUACCAAUUGCGAAGGCAGGUUGCUACCAAUACAUUGACGCUGAUGGACG